CAUCAAUCUCUGCCCCCUCCCUGUGUGUUGUAAAAGAAGCAGGGAAACUGAAAGAGGAACACAGGAUAAAAUGUAAUUUACCCUGGGCUCUGCCUCCAACUAACAGUAGAAGACUGGCUGAUGUUGGCUGAUGGGGAUGCCUGCCCCCUUUUUGAGGAAAUAUCUUUCCAUUUUCUGUGUGUGCCAGUCACCGUGGGCAUGAUUCAGUCAGCUGUACUACAUCACUCAUGAACUCUACCUGUUACUCUGCACAGGAUGUUGACAGCAUCUGAGUAGUGGUAUAUAAUAUGCACAGCUUUGGAGAAGGCUCUGUUAGCAGCCUGGUUGCUUGGAAGUAAGAACAACUGGAAUCUCUUUCUAGAAUACACAUAGUAAAAAGCAUGUGUGCUAGCAGUAGCAUCUGUACCAGGACAUGCCACAUAGAUAGUAACAGUAACUCCUCUGGAUUUUACUGGCCAACUUGCAUACCAUGUUUGAAAACUAUACCUGUGUGAAACAGUAUGUCAAUCAGCCAUUGCUAAGACAUCUCUGCAUGUAACUAGUAUUUGAUUGGUAUUGAAACACACUUGUACAAUCAAAUUCACAUUAGCUGAAAUUUCAUGCAUAAUUAUUUCACUUGAUAAUGCAGCAAACAUUCUGCUAUAUCUUGGGGAAAAAUAAUGAAGCCAAAUAUUAUCAGAGUGGCUUAUAUUAUUCAAUGAAUUGAUGAAAGAUAAAACAGAGUUUUUCAACUGAGAAGAUAGUCAUGUGGUAGUCAAUGGCACCAUACCACACACACACACAUAUAUGCUUUAACUGGAUUCAGGAUGUCACUAAAAUGAGUGUUAGUAUAUAAAAUAAGUAUGUAGGAAUGAUAAUGAUGAUCAUAGUGGAAAUACAGUGAAGGGAAUUUAGUGACUUGUUUCAAAAUUUCAAUAUUCAUUAGUUAAUACUGCAAAAAUAUUCUUUGAGUUUGAAUAGUCACCGUGAAACCAAAAUAAAUAAUAAAUAAUAAAUGCCAAAUGCAUGCUGGCCUCCAUGGAACGACACAUAAUGCCAAACAGAAAAACAUGAAAUUUUUAAGAGAGGAGAAA